CCUACGGGUGGCUGCAGUGGGGAAUUUUGCACAAUGGGCGAAAGCCUGAUGCAGCAAUGCCGCGUGAGUGAUGAAGGCCUUCGGGUCGUAAAUCUCUGUCGGCUGGGAAAAAUGAUUCCAAAUUAAUAUUUUGGAGAAGUGAUGGUACCAGCAAAGGAAGGGGCGGCUAACUCUGUGCCAGCAGCCGCGGUAAUACAGAGGCCCCGAGCGUUGUUCGGAUUUACUGGGCGUAAAGCGAAUGUAGGUGGCGACGUAAGUCAGAUGUGAAAGCCCUG
rnacentral:rRNA from 1 species